CCCCAAGACGAUUGGCACAGCAAACGCAAGAGGAAAUCUCAGCGCACGGCCAAUGCCAGGCAAUGAAGGAUCCUCUGUGGGAGUUGCAGGCCUCAGCAGAUGGCCAGGAUGGGAAGGAGAGAACACCAGUUUUAAUCCAGUUGUUUGUGAUGGAAAACUAUGAGAGAAUUGAAAAGACCUUAUUCCACAGACCAAGGCAUUUACUUUAUUUAACUGUCUAACCUCAGUCAGAACACUAAAUUCCAUUACUCUAGAUGAAUGUUAUGGUAUGGUGAAGUCUUAUUUGGUAAUUACCUGGUCAGAGCCACAGACUAGAAACAAGAUAUGCAGCCAGUGAAAGCCCAGUGGAGUCAGACCAGUUUAUACUAGCUGAGAAUCCAGUCUUCAAUUUUGAAUUAAAAAUUUGAGAAGUUGCAUUUUUCCAUGGCAUUUUGGUCAUAUUAUACAGGGAAGAAAAAAAAAAAAAAAAAAAAAAAAAAGGAAAAAAGAAGCAAGAAAAUAAAAAAUGUAGCUAUUUGUAUAACCAGGACAGAAGCAGAACCAAUGUGAAAUCUUUACCAAUGAAAUUCUACAUCCAAAUUAUUGGGUAUUAGGUGUUGGUGCCAUGUGGAUUACUGCUUAAGUUUAGGGCAGCAAGGUAAGCUCAUUUUCCUGCCUCUGUCUUUUCAGUCACCAUUAGGGCUGCAACCUUCCCAUCCUCCAGGGAGAGGGAGAGAAGUUACACAAUGGGUGUUUUUCCAUGGGCGGAUGUCUAAAUGUGAAGGGAAACAAUUGAAUUUUAAUGACAAUUUUGAGACUCUUGAAGUUAAUUUCUGGGCAGUGCAGAAAUUAGUGGGGUUUGUUGCUGCCAAGAGUUGCAUGUUCUCCUCUCCUGGUAUUAGCAGGACUACAGGUCUCAGCUUUUGGCAGAAAUAACUCCCAAAAUAGCAGGUCCUUCUCUCUUGCCUUCUCUCACAACAGAGAGCAAGAGACAUGCUGCUGCCAGACUCAACCAAGUGUCAGUGCAGAGCAAUGGCUACAAAAACCAGGGCAACUGCACCAAAUUUACACUACCAGAGAUGUGUUCUCAUUAGGUAUUUACAGUAUAGUAGCAUUAUCUGGGGUGGAAUGGUAAAUUUGUUAGGUUCUUCACAAAACAUUUAACCAGAAAAAGUUCCUGCAUCCAAAAGCUCUACAAAAGUGAUUGCAGAAGGAGAGUGGCAAACAAUGGAAUAUCCUGGGGAAAGAAGUACACCAGUGAUUGCAGCAAAGGCAGCCAGCUAUGAAGGCUUUUCCUACACGCAGGGUAAUGUUAAUUCUGCCAAGGAGGCAAGUUAUUUCCUUUUCAGCUAUGCUAUUUCCACUCCAUUACUGAAUCAUGGUUUGUUAAUAGCUUACAAACAUCAAAUUUAAAAAGCUUUAGGAACUUUGUCAUACCUAAGACAAUAUGUACCGAUUUAUCAAUUUCUAUAAAAAUACAUGAUCCAGUAGGUUUUGGGGUUGUGGUUGUCAGGGUAGGGUUUUUUAAUGCCUUUAAUAAAGAAUGGAUAAUUUUGAUCUUGUUUUAGUCUUCUUGGAAGAUUUAGAAAGGAAUAAAAAGGAUAAUCCCAAAAUCUGUAUAUAUCUACUUGUAGAUAGCAAAGCAGAAAAUAAAAGAUGCUUCAAAAUAGCGCCAGUCAUUUAGUCUGCUCUGUAGUUGGAUGAUAGAAUGUCAAGCAUUUUCACCAAAGGCACGAGACCCACUAAAGAGGACUGUCUUUUCAAUUUUGGGCUAUGCAAUUACAGCCCCAAACAGGUCAUGGAAGGGAUCAGGCUUCCCCAUGUUACCCCUCUGGUCAGAUGGCAGCUCCAGCCAAAAGGAAAAAAGAAAAGAGGACAGCCAUAGCCACCUGGCACUGCCUUUUUGCACAGAAAAAAGCAGGCAGGGAAGGAGGGACCUGGUAUCCAGCCAGGUGUGGCAGGACUUACAAGCCAGGCUGCCAAGCUGGAGCUCAUCUUCUGAAUGGGAUUCUGCCGGGGAGGGCACGGAGAAGGUAACAUUGGGGAACUGCUUCCCUUGCAAAGAUCUCUGUGUCCCCGUUUAGCCUCUCCCAUGAGAUGGCCAAACAUGCGUCUUACUUGGCAGAAAAAUUUUCAGCCUGGUACUGAGUAUGUUACUGUGUCCCGCAGCCCACUACAAGGUGUUCAUAAAACAUUGUCGCUUAAGUGUUCCUGAAGUUCUCUCACAUUGCAGCCAGUCCUUAUUUCAGUUACAGGAGAAUUAAAAGAAACACUGGGGAGACUCACAUUACUGACUGAUACCAAACCAUUUUUUCCUAACACAGUUUUUAUAUACAGUACCCAGAGUUUAGCUGUGUCCAUUAUUUCCUUCUUAGAAAAGGAAAUUAUUUCUCCAAGGCUGAUUUUACUUACAGCAAAUUUUUCCACUGUACUACUGGAUACUAUGGUACAGUUCAUUGCUCUAGAACAAUUUCACUAGUUUAGAAACUCCACCAUAAUGUUUUGCCACUAGAUUUCUGCUGAGAAGUAGAGACACUAGCUCACAAACACCCCUUCCAAGUCCUUACGGAGCCUUCCUGAGUUAUGCUUAUCAGGCUUGCACACAGCUAAGUCUCUGUGCCCCUGCUCUGAGCCCUUGAGACAUGGGUGCUCAGCUAAGACUAGAGAAAAAGGAAAAGCAUAGCCAUGAUCAGCAGAUAAUCAUUUCAAUGGCUGUUAAUGUAAAAACAUAUCUCUAACCUUAUUUACUACAGCCGGAUAUAUGGUAGGAGACAAUUUGUAUGAACCAAUUUAUUUUUUUCUUUUUAACUCUUUUGUAUGAGUAAUGAUUUUUGAGAGGUUGGUGUAGUCAUGUUCAGUUGUUACGAAGCUGAUGUUUCACAUUUCUACCUGUGCAGAUGGGAUAUCGCAUUUCUAAGUUACCAAGACCACUUAAACAUCCAGAAACAGUUUCCUCUAUUCCAGCAGUAGUUGCCACUUCUCAGGACAAUUCUUUAGGUACAAGUCAAAUAGAAAUGGCCCUUCACUAUUUUCCACUACAGCUCAGGCUUUCUGCCUCAGCUUUUAUGCAGCUGUGAGCAUGUACAAAAUAGGAUGCUAGUUUUCAUCCCCCUGCCCUCAGUCCAAGAAAUGCUAUGCAAGAGUAAUUCCAUCUGAUUUCACAUAAUUCUGCUCUUGCACUUAGAAAUACAGGAGUUGACAGUCAAGAAGUUCUUUGGGUACUGGAAAGAUUAACAGGUCUUCCAGCUCUCAUACAGGUGACCACAAGGUACAAGCAUUAUAGACAUUUGAUGAAUGAAGGGUUGCCACCAAAUGAAAGCUCUAGAGGAAAUCAUUGAAACAAGGUUUAAGGAGUUUGUGAAGGCACUGUAAAAUGAAUGCACUUUAUGAGGCUACAGUGUGUGUAAAAGGUAUAUGCAACCUGCUCUGUAUUCCUAAAAUGAUCACCAACAUAUGAUCAGGAACUCGGGCUUCUGAGAGUAAUUUCUCUCUCUGUGCCUCAGUUCCCUUAUAUGAAAGUCAGGAUUAGGUCUUGGGUGCCCCUUGGAUGAACAGAACAAAUUCACCUGUUAAAUGUCAAGUGUUACAAUCAAUCACAGGUUUACCACGUCUUUCCUACCCAAUCAUUUAAAACUAUUAAUAUCAAAAUAAGCCACUCAAAAAUUAGUAAAGAUUCCAGAAGUCACAGAUUGUGGAACAUGAAUCUCAGUGAUUUCAAUGGAUGUGAUGCCAGCCUCAGAGAUAAGAUUAACUUUGAUGUGAAAGAUCCUGUCACUCCAAUGACAAAUGUUCUGCAUUUUCUGUUAGUUCAGGAAAGAUCUAUGCCAGUCCCAUCACAGUCCCUCAGCUAUUGUUCCCCCCCACUUUGAAUAUUUUCCUAUGAAUGCUGCUUGCUACCUAAUAAACAAUCAAAAAAACAUCAGAUGCCAGCAUUCUAUGGUUGAAUUUAUUGUAUGUUUUUCCCCUUAAAUAAUUUUUUUUUUGAAAUUUUGAUGAAAAUUUAUCUGCCAGGUAAUCAGGAAAGGAACUGAGAUAUAAUCCAGUCAUUAUGGUCACUCUCACUUACAUGAGUCUACUACAGGUGAUCCUUUCUUACAUAAAUGCAGUUAUGCUUAAGGAAGGUUAGAUGCUACAUUUUCAGUAAUUUCUUUCUUCUACCAAGACAGAUAACAUUGGAUGCAUAAAGUUCCUCUUUUAUGUGGCACUUCCUUUAAAGCAAGUUUGUCCCCUUGAGUAAUUUUUUCCUUGGCUGUAAUGUGAUAUAUAUAUACACACAUCUGUAUCUGUCAAAGAUACCUAUAUUUAUCUAUCACACACCACUGGAAGAUGUUAUUACAGAUUGGAAAAAGAAAAACAAAAAGGACAAAUUUCUCUACUCAGUGUUUAAGAGAAGUUGGUAUCACCGAAUUUAGAAGUGUAAAUUCCGUUUUUUUUUUUUGCAGCUGAAUACACCACCCACCCCAGCAGCACCUGAUGUCAGUAGCAGUUCAUGUAUGUGUGUAGCUGCAAAAUCUUUUGAUAUCCAGGUGUCACUGGAAACCCAGUGGAUUACAGUACUUUUUUUUUUACAUAUAUAAAAGAUGCAAUUAGCCUAAAAGUAUUCAAUAUUUUCUACAAGGACAUGUUGUGAAGAAUUCCAAGUGUCUUUUGAACAUGGAGGAGUCGCUACCCUGUAUCCUACUAAAAUGCAUACUACUUCCAACAUUUUCCAAGUAGACAAAAUGAAUAUGGAGGGAGGAGGGAAGUUGUUCAGAGAAAAUUCAAGUUAGAAAAAAAAAAUUUCUUAUUUAUAGUUCAGAGAUCUGUGCUGUUUUAAUUCCUCCUUUAAAAAACUACUUUAAAUUACAAAUUGCAAGCCUGUUUCAGAUAUCUUGCUCUUCUUGCGAAUACAAAAAUAUGAGAGAAUAAGGUAAAAAAAGAUAUUAAAUAGUGAUUUAAUUUGUUCAGAAAGCAUUGAGUGAUAAGCAUCUGCAUGGAAUUACAUAGCUCAGUUCUACUUGAAAAUUUUUCUAACUGGAAGAAAACGUUCAAGUUCCUCACCCAUUUUAACAGCUGUCAUAAAUGGAUGUUAAACUUAGCAGCAGCAGUUCAUUGGCAGCUUCCCAAGACUGGCAUCAAUGUAAGAAUUUGUAUCUGAUAUGAAUGAAAAAAAAACCCAAAAGAUUGUUAAUGCUGUUUUUGAAUGAAGGUUUGAAAUAGUUAAAUGCAAAACACCACAGAUGCCACCCAUGGACAUGAUAACUAUUUCAGGGGAAAGGGAGGAGGGCAAACUUCCUACUGCAUGAGGAAAAAUAUAGAAGUAUUAAGUAGAAAUAUUUGAAGAAAUUAAGGCCUGGAACUACAGCUUCAGCAAAGAAGGUGAUGUCAGUUCUGUGUAUUUCUGCACAAGAAAACCAAAAUGCUGGCUGGGAUUUCUGAGCAUUUCCACAACCCAAGCAGUAAGAGGAAGCUGUUCAAAAUCAAGAGUUCUAGUGAUAACUGCAAUGAAAACAGACCAGAGCCUUUAUCUUAAUCAGUUACUUAGAAUAAACUGAUACUGAUUUAUCAUCUUUUCUCCCUCCACGUUUAGAGUCAGAGCCACUUACACAUUACUGAUGUGUUUUCAAAAUCCCACACAUGGGUGACAACAUGCAAUUCUUGCAAAUAUUUUGAGGGAAGGGAUUGCCUGUAUGUUGCUAGUGCUGUACUUCAGGGUCAUGAGUCAUUAAGAAAAUAUGGAUAAAUAUUUAUUUUUGUCCUUUGAAUAAGAAGUCUUUUGUGACAGAAUAUAAACGUGCAGAAGUAGUUUUUAAGUUUAUUGUUACUACUCUUUUUAUUAACAAUGACAAAUUUUAAAACAGUUGAAAUACUUGGAUGGAAACAUGUCAUUAUCUCCAGUAAUUUCUGCAAAUGUUCAGUCAACAUCCUAAUUGUAUUCCUAUCCAAUAUGAUGAAAUGAGCUCUAGCUCUCUCCAUACAUGACAUAGCAGUAAGAAAAAAGAAAAUAUCUAAAUGCUAUUUAUUCGGCAACUGAAUCUUAGCCAAAGUGAGCUACUGUUUACUAUGGUUAGUGAUAACUUUACACAUAUAGUAAGCACAUAAGGCACUUGUAACUUUUGAAAGCCUGAGAUUUGUAUUAUCCUGUAGGCUCUUUUAAUUUAAUUUAGGUAUAUACUGAUAGAAUUAAACACAGGCAUUUACAGGAAAAAAAAAAUUGUUAGGGCUGAGAUAAGCAAAUAAAAGAAAAUAAAUACAAUAGUAAAGUUGCUAAUGCUCUAUUCUCAAUAAAAUUCUUAUAGUUAUGUGCUCUCCUUUCCCUUCUAGCAACACGUAAUUCUCUGCAGGGAUGUCAAGGGGACCAUUCUCUCCAUUUUCCUAAAGUUAGCAAGCCAACAUCUGCUAAAUGCAGUACGACAUGCUGUUUACCUUUGUUGUAAACUUGAAGCUUUUCCACUUAAAAACUGUAUAAACGAAUCAGUAUUCAUUCACACCUACGCCUAGAAAUAUCCAUUACAAAGCAGACAAUUCUCAUUUUUAAUCUCCUCCUUAUUCUGAUUUUAUGCCGUAUUCCUCUGCACUGAUGCUGUUUGGAAUCACUCUGGAUAUAUUAACAAAUGCAAGGAAAGUAAAACAAAAGACAAUGGGGAUUUUCCCCUCAUUUUCUGCAAGUUUACUGACAGAUAAAGAUGAUAAAAAUCCAGAGUAAAAGGUCUUGCCUGACAUCUCCUUUAAACUCAGUAGUUUAACAAACUGCUAUGAAACAGAAGUUUUGUCCCCUGCUCCAAAAACCAAGAUGACAAAAUCCCAAACUAUAUGUUUAGAUUUGCCUUCUAAAAUCCUGUGGAAUAUUUAAUAACUUGUAUUUCAUGGCAGAAUUUCCAAUGUAAAUAGUAGGGGGUUGUCUGUUUUGUUUUGAUUUUUCAAAAUGUAUAUACAUUUCUCAUCUGCUGAAAGGAAACCUGCCUACAUCAGCAAAAAGUACAGAUAAAAAGAAAAUACUAAUUAACAUGAAAAAAUGCAACCACCCUUUCUUUAGUGAAUGCUUUUGAAUCAGAAAAUAUUUUUUCUCAUGCUGCAGCAGAAACCCUGUAUUUGAACGAGCACCCACCAACAUCGCUUGUCCCUCUAAUUGUCAUCAUUACUAAGACAGAAGCAGCCUUUGUUUAUCACACAGAGCAUUCUCUAAAAUCUUUUUUUCCAAUCACGUUUUUAUUCUCCUUCUCCCCCGCCUGCUUUUAUUUAGUUUUGAGCACAGUUACAGCUCUACUUGGGUUAACUUGUGGCAGUAAGGCAUUCGCAGAAGCUGUUGCUCUCAGUAACGUUGGCUAUUGCUGAUUACAGCAUUGCUUAAGGCAGAUUCCUUGUUCUAAAUGGCAUUGAACAUUUUUACCUGGGUAUUGCAACACCACAUUAUGAGCACUGGGAUAUAAACAGAACAGUAAGCAGUGUUGCUGGCCUCUGGAUUUAAACCAGUGGACUUGUGUGUGGAGACACAGCUAGAAAAUCGAGCUGUCACCAAAGUAUCUGAUACAAUGUCUGUAUCUUUCCCUAAUUUGCUACUGACCAAUUAUUACAUUCAACUCUGAAUCACAGUCCUAAAUAAUAAAGGUCAGAGUUUUCAUGGA